rnacentral:rRNA from 1 species
GGGUUGUGAGGUUAAGCGACUAAGCGUACACGGUGGAUGCCCUGGCAGUCAGAGGCGAUGAAGGGCGUGCUAAUCUGCGAUAAGCGCCGGUAAGGUGAUAUGAACCGCAAUAACCGGCGAUACCCGAAUGGGGAAACCCAGUGUGAUUCGUCACACUAUCAUGCAGUGAAUACAUAGCUGUAUGAGGCGAACCGGGGGAACUGAAACAUCUAAGUACCCCGAGGAAAAGAAAUCAACCGAGAUUCCCCCAGUAGCGGCGAGCGAACGGGGAGGAGCCCAGAACCAUCAUCAGCUUGUGCAUCAGUGGAAGCGUCUGGAAAGUCGCAGGGUACAGGGUGAUACUCCCGUACACAAAGGUGCACAGGCUGUGAGUUCGAUGAGUAAGGCGGGACACGUGGUAUCCUGUCUGAAUAUGGGGGGACCAUCCUCCAAGGCUAAAUACUCCUGAC